AGACCCCUAACCCUAUCUCUCUCUUCCCUUCCCUUUCUCGUGAAACCCUAGAGCGCCGCACCUCAAUUUUCUUCUCUCUCUCUCUUGCCAAAAAUGGCAACCGCACAGAGGUCUCAGGCCUUUCGUAAACCUUGUACAACCAAUAACGUGAAACAAUUAAUGUUUCAACAUCAUUUUCACUCAAACUCGUCUAAACACAGUGGUAAUCACAUUUUCUUUUACUUUUCCCAUUUGUUUUCUGAAUCAAAACACGAUUUUUACAUUUUUUGUGGUUAUAUUGUGACUGUACGAGCUCGAUUCUUAUUGGUUCAUAAGGGUUUGGUUCGGAUCGACCUAGAAUGGGUCAGAUCCGACCGUAUAUGUGUGUUUUCUAUAGAUCCUAGUCAUUAAAUUCAUAGAUGAAGGUUUUUGCAUCUGAAAUCUACUUUGUACCACAUCGUUUUUUAAAUAUUUAAACUCGAGAUUUAGGCUUACAGUAAAAUUUUAAAGACUUAGCCCUUUUUUAGGGUUCGAAUCUUCCUUAGUUCUAAAAUAUUUGUGUUUUUCUUUCCUUUCUGUGUGGCUUGAGUUGGAGAUUUGGAAGCACGAAGGCUCCAAAAUCCAUUCUUGACAAAGUUUUGCCCAAAAAAGGUAACACUCUCUCUCGUUGUUAUUUUUUAGUUAGUUUUCGCUUCAAUGUAGUCUUUUAUUGUUAAAUGCCCAGUUUAGAUUUAGUUUAUAUCUGUUUGUCCUAGAAUUUUGUUUGAAACUUUGUUUGUUGUUCAUAAUUGUGGUCCUGGUAUAUGUUUGAGUUCAUUGAAGAUUAAAAUGACCUAUCCUGGAUAGUGUACUUGAAUUGAUCCUUGCCUAGUUGCCUAAAUGAUCAAUAUAGCAUUGUGUGACUGUUUAAGUAUCGAUUUGGUUUAUAUGUUGUGCUGAUAAGACUGCCUUGAACCUAGAUGACUCUGUGAAAUUCUAAGAAAUGCUAACUGAAUCAUUAGUUGAUUAUCUACCCUCUUAAUGUGAUAACACUUAUUUGUGAGGCUUAAUGACUUACGUAAUCUCUAGUGAUGUUAUUUGACCCUGUUUGAAUCCUGAAUGCACCUGCAACUUGAUCAUAGGACCCUGAUGGUUUAAUAUAGAUAAAACUGGGACACCUCAUGUGAAUUGACUUAGAAUCAUUGAUACAAGUACACUGACUUGAGGACCCUAGGCUUAUUUUGAUUUAAACCUGCUUGUUCUUUCACUAGAAUGAUUGUGUAGGUCCUAAUUAGGAUAAGUAAAGAGUCAUGAUUGGUCUAAACAGGACUUAAUGAGUCUAAGCAUGCUUAUUCAAUUCUUAAAAUGUGAUUAAGGUGUUAGAAUGUAAUUAAAUGAGACCUGAUUGCUUCUAAAUGUGUGCAAGUCACCCGAGUGCACCUAAGUCUGCUAAACUCUUUUGAAAUGGUAUAAGGGUGGCCUUGAUGUAAUCUAACUAGUGUACAAUAAGACUGAAACCGUACAAGGUUCUAAUUAGACUAUGUGAGUUUAAAACAGAUGUAAAGUGAUUCUCAUUUUAAACUGACUAUGGCUAACCUAAAAUGACAUUUUAUCUGCUGAGUGUCCAUGAGUCGAGGGGUAAUGCGCAAUUGCUAUAAAAGAAUGGGUGAACUUUAGAGGGACUUGUCUGGUUUCUGAGGUAUGCAUAGUGUACAGUUGGGCUUGGUCAUGACUGGUUGUGUAGGGAUCAGGUAUAAAAUGAAAAGGAGAAGUCCUGGUAGGUUUUAAAAUAUAUUAGUACACUGUAAAGGUCAAUUGGAUUCCACUUAGAUUAAUCAAAAUAACUUUGAGGAAGGUACUUGGAUCUUGAAUUUGAAGUAUGUGUGUCUAUAGAGUCCAGUCCCUGUGCUUCUUUCGUGACCUUGGUAGUCAAGUGUGUGCAAAACUUGUUUUCAUUUUGAGGGAUGGUAUUUCAUCUUGCUUGUAAUGAAGUAAAAAUGGAACUGUGUAUAUACACUUAGCUUAACUAACCUCAGAAUAUAGUGUACAUACUUGUCUCAGCCUCCUAAAGUCAACAGAGGGUCAGGAUAACUUAAUGAUUGUAAUUUAAUAAGCAAACUAGUCAGGUCAUCCCUCUGCAUUAAUACUAUUUAAAUACUGUGAUUGGAAACGGAUUUAAUGAUUGAGUUUAUAUAUGGUUAUAAGAAUUUAUGAGUAAAGACCACAUGGCAUGGAAGAACCUCUUUAAGGUGCCUUGGGCGAGGAUCAAGGGCGAACCAAGUAUUACUUGGUUCAUAACACCUUUUCUCCAUAUAAAAGGCACCAUGGCACUUCUAUAAGCCUAUGGAGGUAUCUGUUUAUUACAUAAAUGCAUUAUGACUUUAUGAAUCCAAUCAUUAGAUCAAAGGGCAAGGUUUAAGGCCAAAUCUGUUUGCUUAAGUUGCUUUUCUUUGGCCAGUACCAAUGGUGAAUUUGUUAAUAUAUAGCUGAGUAGGUUGAUGCGAAAAAGAGAAGAGUUUAACUAAAAAUGGGAUCUGAGUCUUAAAUUCAUGAAAGCUGAACCAUCAAGAUCAUUAGAAGCACUUGAAAUCUGUCUUUAAAAGCAUAGUUUUUUUUCUUUCUUUUGCCAUAUCAUCUGAGUUAUAGCAUGUAUAAGUCUUGUGUAUUUGCUUGUGCAUUUCUCUCUUCCAUUUAAACCGGUCCAAGGCUUAAUGAUUACCCUUGUGUCAUAUAAGAAUACUUGAACUUGCUCAGUCUAUGCUAUACAUGUUUGUUUGAACUAUAGAUCCUGUACUUGGUGUUUGAUCUUUCUUGAUUGAUGAGACCAAUUCUUCUCCCUGUUUCUUCCCUGAUUGUGAAUAUAUCUUUUCUAUUGAUCUAAGAAUGUGAAUAGCUAAGUAAUUCAUUUGCUCAUCCCUAUAUCUGUCUUAAGAGUUGCCAAAGACCUGAACUUGAUAAUGAAUCUAUGUGAGGUAGCCUAUUUAGUAUCUAGCUUGGUUAGGCUGAGUGUAAGUUUUAGUUUUGGUUUAAAGGGGGGCACCUCUGAUUGGAAGAGGAUUAGGAAAAAAUAACAAUUAAGGACAGGGCUUAAAAAGUGCAAAGCUAAGUGUAAGAAAGGGUACAUAUUCUAUGAUAUACACAAAUAUUAAUGAGGAGAAUAGUGAUAAUAAGGGUGUAUCACACAGUAUAUCACAUGUAUGUGUGUGUGUAUGGAGGUUUAGAACACACACUAAGGCAAAGAAAUAGAAACUAUACUCAGCCUUAGGCAACAACUUCUGUUUUAAAGUAGUUGGGCCUGGCCCAUUUCAAAGGAAGGGUAGGACUUAGCCUAAAACAAAAAGGGGAGUUCGGGUGAUUCUCUUAAAUGUAAUCUUGGGCUAUCAGGCCCAAUGACUUGGCAAUAUAUGAUAUAUGUGUAUUGUUUCUUCCUACAUAUGUGAUUAUGUGUGUAUUUAUAUACAUGUGUGAUAAGUUCAGUAGAUUGAAACUAAUCGGGGUCCUUUGUUUUUUUCUCCUCCCUCCUCUACCACAUGGCUGGCUACUUGGGCCGGGUCCGAAGUCAACCUGUUGGGCCAAGGCCCAAUAGGAAAUUCCUUCAUAUUUAUCGAGUCCGAGAAGACAAAAAGGGAAGCUAAUAUCAAAAGAAAACGCGUAGAAGGCCCAGCCAUGGGUGAAAAUGGCUAACUAGUGGCUUGGUACGCCCCUAGCCUUCCCCUUCCUUUUAUUUGUGUUUUCCUUUUUGUUUAUAAUUUUGUUGUAAUUGUAUUUGUAAACUUGUAAAAAACUCAUAGAUCAUUGAAAUCUUUAUGUUUAUGAA